CCUACGGGCGGCAGCAGUAGGGAAUUUUCGGCAAUGGGGGGAACCCUGACCGAGCAACGCCGCGUGAACGAAGAAGUUAUUCGUAAUGUAAAGUUCUUUUAACAGGGAAGAAAGAGAAAUUUGACGGUACCUGAAGAAUAAGCUCCGGCUAACUACGUGCCAGCAGCCGCGGUAAUACGUAGGGAGCGAGCGUUAUCCGGAAUUAUUGGGCGUAAGGGGUGCGUAGAUGGCAUAGUAAGUCUUUUGUAAAAAUGCUGGGCUCAACCCAGUAGGGCAAAAGAUACUGCAAAGCUAGAGUAUGACAGAGGCAAGUGGAACUACAUGUGUAGCGGUAAAAUGCGUAAAUAUAUGUAAGAACACCAGUGGCGAAGGCGGCUUGCUGGGCUUUAACUGACGCUGAGGCUCGAAAGUGUGGGGAGCAAACAGGAUUAGAUACCCCGGUAGUC
rnacentral:rRNA from 1 species